AGCAGCCGCGGUAAUUCCAGCUCCAAUAGCGUAUAUUAAAGUUGUUGCAGUUAAAAGCUCGUAGUUGAAUUUCGGGAUCGAGGGAUCGGUCAUGCCUUGGUAUGUACUGAUCUCAUCGGUUCUCACCUUCUAAAGAACCAUAAUGUCAUUCAUUUGAUGUUAUGGGGAAUUAGGACUGUUACCUUGAAAAAUUAGAGUGUUUAAAGCAGGCUUACGCUUGAAUACAUUAGCAUGGAAUAAUGAAAUAGGACAUCAGAUUCUAUUUUGUUGGUUUCUAGGAUCGAUGUAAUGAUUAAUAGGGAUAGUUGGGGGCAUUAGUAUUCAAAUUGUCAGAGGUGAAAUUCUU
rnacentral:rRNA from 1 species